UUGUGAUAUAUAAUCAGUUUCUAAAUCUAAUUGAUUAUUUUUCUGGGGCUGAUCCCAAACUCAAGUCAUAGUUCACCUUUUUGUGACUUUCAUUCGUUUAUUUAUAUUCAUAUUUUUCUUUGUUAGUGAACAGCUCUCAUACAGUGACUAUGUGUGAUUUAUAGAAAAAGAAAAGGUGAGUUUACAACAUCAGUUUUAUGUUAUUUGAAUAUGAUUUCAAGAGGCCUUGUUCUGCACCUGCCUGUGACUGGUCUUCAAUCACUCUACUUACAUCAAAUACUGUUAGUCUUUGGUCAUUCAUAGCUGUUAGAACGGUUGAGAGCAAAGUCCAUUUAGGGAAGUCGCGGCACUCAGUGGUCAUGUUCGUGACAUUAUCGGCUGUCAUAGUCUGCCACUGUUAUGCUGAUGACUUUCAAUUUUUUUCCCUUUACCUGCAAUCGUAGUCUGCUGUUUGUGAUGGAUUUUUCCAUCACUCAAUAUUGACUAACUGGUAUGCCUUUAAAGCAUAAUGUAUUUUGCUGACCAAUUUAAUGACUAAAAUGCAAUGAGACACGUUUAUUUUUUCAGAUCAAAGAUUGUCUGGAGACCCUGUGGUGAGUAUAGUAAAAGGCUGAUAUGUGAGAUAUCACCAUUGAGACUGGCGUCUUAUUCAUGUUGGAUAAAAAUAAUCUGAUACAUUGUGAUGUUGUACAUUUCCUUUCCUUUAGGUCGCAUCUAAGAAUGACAAUAAUGGAACAUAUGAGACCAUCAACAUCGUUCCUUCUACUCCUAACACACAUGAGCAGAAAGAUGAUGUGGUUUAUUCUGAGGUGACCAUUGGCAGUAAAAAACAACUGAAGAACAACAUUGUUCACUCUGCUGGUGAUGUGACUUAUGCCGUCAUCAAAGGAGGAAAAACUGAACCUGAAGACGCCUGCAGAGAUCUUUACACCUCACUGAACAAAACCACUCGCAAAUAAAAAACAAACACACAUAAUAAUAAAAAAUCACACAACUAAACAACAACAUAAACACAAAUUUAUUAGGUUUCAGUCAGUGACUUUUGACCUUUGACAAACAAACUCAAGUGAAGAUUUGAUUUAUUUGAUGUAUUUUUGGUCAGCUUUUGAAUGUUUGUUUGUUUUCUAUUAGUUGUCUUUUUGUUUAUUUUUUGAUGUUAUUGCAUUCUAACAUGUCUAAUGAAUUUCCAUAGGUCGUGUUAAUACCUUGCGUGAUCAAAUUGGGGUUGCAUAAGAAAUUAUUUCUUACUUUCACUUUUUUUUUCUUUAAUUUAAAAAUAUGAACCUGCUCCUGAUUUUUAUGUGCUAUGCGACUGACUGUAUCAUAAGUUUUAGUUUUUUUGUAUGAAAAGAUCUAUUAAGCUGAUGAGGUGAAUAGAGAAGAAGUGAUUAAGUGAUUUUGCAUUUCUUUGUCCUCUCACUACAGAACUGUUUGCUUUCUGUGCAUUAGAUGACCUUCAUGGAAAAAUUAAAAAUACUCAAAAGACA